AAAAAACACAAUUUAUUUCUCAAUGUUCUGGAGGCUGGGAAGUCCAAGAUCAAGGCAGACUGACCUUUUUAUAACCAUUUUAGAGACUCAUUUUCCCAAUUAACCAUUUAUAAAAUAUAAUUUCUGGAAUUAAAUAGACACAUUGUCUUAGUCCAUUUGGGCAGCUAUAACAAAAUACCAUAGACUGGGUAAACUGUAAACAACAUCAUUUAUUUCUCAAAGUUCGGGAGGCUGGGAAGUCCAAGAUCAAGGCAGAUUGUACUGGGGAGGGCUCAUUUUCUGGUUCACAGAUGACACCUUCUCUCUGCAUCCUGGAAUGAUGGAGAGGCAAGACAGCUCUCUGGGGGGCCUCCUUUAUAAGCGCACUCAUCCCAUUCAUGAGGGCUCUACCCUGGUGACCUAAUCAUCUCCCAAAGGUGCCUCUCUUAAAACCAUCACACUGGUGCUUAGGGUUCAAUGUAAAAAUUUGCAGAGGGGAAACAAACAUUCAGACCUCAGCACACAUCAAAGUGAAAAUGACAGCAAUCAAGUAAGAAUGGGUAACGGAAUCAUAAGUAAUUACAUUUCCUUUGUCUUUUUCUGUGUUUUUUUAAAGUUUCUCUAUUGAGUACACACUUAUUUUGAAAUUAAAGUGCUAUUUUGAAAUAAUUUUUAAAAUACUCUCAGAAAAAAACUGAAAACAGCAUUAACAGGAAAUAUAGAAAUGAAAUACACAUGGGCAAUGAACUUACGAAAUAGGCUAUUCAAACACACUUGUAAUAAAAGAAAUUCAGUAUAAAACAACACUGAAAUGUCAUUUUAAUCAAUUAUUUUUAAAAAUUAUUUCAAUAUAUAGUGUUGCUAAGGAUGUAGAGAAAAUGGCUCAUAUACAAUUUUGGAAGGAAGCUAAAUUACUGCUUUCUUUUCUGAAAGGAAAUUUGGAAUUGUUUAUCAUACUCCUUGAAAUAUUCCUACUCUAGGGCCCAGUAACUUAACUUCCACAAAAUAGUCUAACUAAAAAUAUCAGAUAUGUGCAUAAUGACUUAUGUUUUAAAGUAUUUAUUAUAGUUAUUUUUAAUACCAAAAAACAUCAAAACUCAAGUGUUCAAAACUAAAGGUUAAUAUUCUGCAGGCAAUUAAAAUCAUGACCUUUAAGAAAAAUAGUUAAUGACAUGGUGGUAAAGUUCCUUAUAUCUUGUUGAGUAGAAAUAGCAGAUUACAAAGCAGUAUGUCUAGUAUCACCACAGUUUUAUUUAUAGAAUUGUGUGCAUAUGUGUAAAGAUGUUAGCAGUGAUUGAGUCUAGAAAGAGAUUUGGGUUUUCUACCCUAGACAUUGUUGAAUUUUCCAAAUGUUCUGCAACGAACCUUUAAUACAUACACACUUAAAACAUAGAUAUAUUUAUAGCAUUCGAACAUAAUGUUAUUUAAACAUAUAAAAACAAUGUUUUUUAAUUUUUUUUUCUAGACAGAGUCUUGAUCUGUCUUAUUCCACCCUGACAUGCUAAGCAUUUGGUUGUUUUUGUUUUUGUUUUUUUAUCUCUGGAAAAAAGUUUAUUUUAUUGAUCUAAAUUAACAGUAUAGCUAAAAAUACAUAUUAAGAAGAAGAAUAUUUUUCUCUUAAGAGUGAAUUAUUACACUUUUCUGAAUGUAUAAUUAUCUACAAAGCUGUAAUUUCAAUAUUCUUUAGCACAAGGUAAGUGGGAAAAUAAGGAAUUUAAUCUGAGAAAAGACACACCUACUAAAUAAUAAGAAAGUCAGGAACAGCCUACCUCUAAAGAUAAGCUACUCCAAAAUCUAGAAGAAAAAUUUCAAAACCUAGCUGAGAUUCUCAAAAAAGAACAAAAAAUAAUAAGCUUUUCUAAUACUAGAGAGUCAUAAGAUUGAGAUGAAUAGGCAACAGAAAGAUUUUUUUUUUAAUGUGAAUGACAGAAAAGAUUUCAAGGAAACUUUAAAUGCUGUAGUAAAAUUAAAAUCAACAUUGUAAGGCUGGGCGUGGUGGUUUACACCUGUAAUCCCAGCACUUUGGGAGGCCAAGACAGGCAGAUUGCUUGAGGCCAGAAAUUCAAGACCAGCCUGGCAAACAUGGUGAAACCCCGUCUCUACUAAAAACAAAAAAACUAGCCAGGCAUGGUGGUGCAUACCUGUAACCCCAGCUACUCAGGAGGCUGAGGCAGAAGAAUCACUUUAAUCUGGGAGACAGAGGUUGCAGUGAGCUGAAAUUGUGCCACUGCACUCUGGCUUGGGAGACAGAGUGAGACCCUGUCUCAAAAAAAAAAAAACAAAAAAACCAACAUUGUAGACAAUUGACAGUACAUGACGUGGACAGUAAACUUCAGAAUACUCCCUUUCCCCUUGCCCCUCAGAAUUUAGCAUAAAAAGACAAAGAUUUUAAGAUGAAGAAGGAAGGUAUGAUAAUUAUGGAAAAUGGAGAUUAGAGAACAAAGAUAAGAUAAAAAUUAUGACUAAAGAGAAAAAAUACAACAAAAGCAAAAUCUGAAGAUAUCAUAAAGAAAGUGGUGAGCUAAAGUUUUAACAGUUUAAACCUGUAACCAUUUUAUACAAAGAAAGUAGUCAUUUACAUGUAUAGACAACACAAUAACAUUCUCAUAUUAACAAGAACUCAGAAAAUAUACUUUUCAUGUGCCCUUCUUGAAAAAGAACCUGCCUGAUUGUAUGAUCUAAUCAAAAUUUAAAUCUUAGGAAUGGGUCGGCAAUAAAUACUGAAACUGGUAAAAAUACUUCAGUCAUUUUAAAUCUAGUUUUCUGUUUGUUUGUUAGCAUGAGACAGUCUCACUCUGUCAUCUAGGCUGGAGUGCAGUGGCACGAUCUCAGCUCACUGCAAUCUCCACCUUCCAGGUUCAAGCAAUUCUCCUGCCUCAGCCUCCCGAGUAGCAGGGAUUACAGGUGCCCGCCACUGUGCCUGGCCUAAGUCUAGUUUUAAAAUGGAAAGGGGAAAGUAACGAUGUAAUAAUAAUUUGGUACCAAGAUCUGUGAAGAAGGAGGAAGUGAAUUAUACUAAAUACUUUCUCUCACAUAGAAGACAGAGCAUUGGGAGCCCAAACAUAACUGCUUUGCUCCUGAUCUUAGAAACAAAUUUAAAACACCAAAGAUAAUUCAUUACUAGAACUUACGUGCUAUAUUAGCCUCUAAAACACCGACAAAUAUAACAGUUAAGUCAUUAUACUCUACACAGCUUAAGGUAGAAAAUAAAGGAGACAGCAAGAAGUUAACAAAAAACAUGAGUUAAGAUAGCAGGGGCAAUAUCUAUCAUAAGGACCAAGGUGAAUGGGAUAAAUGCCCAGAGAGAGGCAAAGAUUCUUAAAUUAGGCCCCCAAAUUAUGAUGGGUCAGAAACAACAUGUUUUUCACAAAAUACAAAUACAAAAGUGAUUAUAACAUGUUUAAAAAACAAGAAAUGUAAGAGACAUGGUACAAAUGUAAAAUGAAUAUUAGAUUAAAAAAAAUCUAGACAAAAACACUAAAUGGAACAAAGGGGGACAUUUUACAAGAAUAAGAGUCAUAAUUCAAAAUAAGGAUACGACGCACUAUUCAGCAAAUACUUAUCAAUGCUCACAGCUUUUCAAAAAAAAUCAUGUAAAACAUCUAAUGCUAACUGCUACUAAAAGUUAAAGUAAGAUAAAUAACUUUUUUGGGUUGUUCUAUUCCUCAGAAUAUUCCAUUUAAAUACAUUUUUUAAUGUUAGCAAUACAAAGAAAAACUGACAAAAACUGUAAUUUGGAAAAAC
rnacentral:lncRNA from 1 species